GUGAAUCAUCAAAUUUUUGAACGCAAAUUGCACUCUCUGGUAUUCCGGAGAGUAUGCCUGUUUGAGGGUCAGUUUAAAUAAAAAUCGGUGGUUGCUGCCUUUCGUGGUGUCGCACCGGAUUUGUGUCUUCUUGUCUUCGCUUAAGUGACCUAAAAUUUUGCAUGUUUUUUUUUUCACGUAUUUAAAUGUUUUUAUGUACGUUUGCGAUAUCGAAUAUUA
rnacentral:misc_RNA from 1 species